AGCGAACGUUAGCGGCGGGCCUAGCACAUGCAAGUCGAGCGAGAAAAGGGCUUCGGCCCUGAGUAAAGCGGCGGACGGGUGAGUAACACGUAGGUAAUCUUCCCUUGAGCGGGGGACAACGAGCCGAAAGGCUCGCUAAUACCGCAUAAGUUCAUAGGGACUCCGGUCUUUAUGAGGAAAGCUAGGUAGCAAUAUCCGGCACUCGAGGAGGAGCCUGCGUCGCAUCAGCUAGUUGGUGGGGUAACGGCCUACCAAGGCGAAGACGCGUAGCUGGUCUGAGAGGAUGAUCAGCCACACUGAAACUGAGACACGGUUCAGACUCCUACGGAGGCAGCAGUGGGGAAUAUUGGACAAUGGGCGCAAGCCUGAUCCAGCCACGCCGCGUGAGUGAUGAA
rnacentral:rRNA from 1 species